rnacentral:rRNA from 1 species
UAGGGAAUAUUGCGCAAUGGGGGAAACCCUGACGCAGCAACGCCGCGUGAGUGAGGAAGGUCUUCGGAUUGUAAAACUCUUUUAUUAGGGAAAAAUGGUUAGGGAGCUAAUACCCCCUGAUUUGAUGGUACCUAAAGAAUAAGCACCGGCUAACUUCGUGCCAGCAGCCGCGGUAAUACGAAGGGUGCAAGCGUUGUUCGGAUUUAUUGGGCGUAAAGCGCGCGCAGGCGGAUCAGCAAGUCAGGUGUGAAAUCUCGGGGCUCAACCCCGAAACUGCGCCUGAAACUGCUAGUCUAGAAUGUCGGAGGGGGCAGGGGAAUUUCACGUGUAGGGGUAAAAUCCGUAGAGAUGUGAAGGAACACCGGAGGCGAAGGCGCCUGCCUGGACGACUAUUGACGCU